UUAGCCAGGCGUGGUGGCAGGCGCCUGUGGUCCCAGCUACUCGGGAGGCUGAGGCAGGAGAAUUGCUUGAACCCGGGAGGCAGAGGUUGCAGUGAGCCAAGAUCGCACCACUGCACUCCAGCCUGGUGACAGAGCGGGACUCCAUCUCAAAAAAAAAAAAAAAAAAAAAAAAAAAGAAUUAAACUAGGCAGCGUAUUCCAGCACUCAGUGUUGGGAGAACUGUG
rnacentral:lncRNA from 1 species